UACGUAGGGCGCAAGCGUUGUCCGGAAUUAUUGGGCGUAAAGAGCUCGUAGGCGGUCUGUCGCGUCGGCUGUGAAAACCCGGGGCUCAACCCCGGGCCUGCAGUCGGUACGGGCAGACUAGAGUGUGGUAGGGGAGACUGGAAUUCCUGGUGUAGCGGUGAAAUGCGCAGAUAUCAGGAGGAACACCGAUGGCGAAGGCAGGUCUCUGGGCCACUACUGACGCUGAGAAGCGAAAGCAUGGGGAGCGAACAGG
rnacentral:rRNA from 1 species